AACCCUGGAUUUCAACAAACUGGAGUCGCUGCCCCGUGAUGUAUUUAAGUCUCAACGACUACAUGAUCUGUGGCUGGGAAAUAACAACUUUAAAGAGUUGCCUGAGGAGCUGUUAGUUGGGCAGGAUGGACUAAGAUACUUGCGGUUGGGUGGCAAUCAGUUAAAACAGCUACCACGAAACAUUUUUAAGGAUUUGUCUCACUUAGAAAAACUG